rnacentral:lncRNA from 1 species
AUGAAAGAAACGCAGAGCGAAGGGUCCUUGGCCCAAACACAGGAUGGCAUGACCCAGCCAGGCACUUGGCUUUCUGGAAGGACCCUGUGCCCUUGCCGCCUGGCAGGUUCGACCAUCUGGUGGCCAUCGAGCUCCCGGGAAGGGCUGUGCGUGGCAAUUACUACAAUGCGGGAGAUGAAGAUCCAGCCCUUGGUGGACCCUGUGGGUAAUCCUUUCAGAUCACAGAGGAUUCCUGGAAUCUCGUCGAGGUCCUACGCCUCUCAAGGACUCUGUAAAGUGAGGACAACAGGGCCCUGGACAGGACACCCUGGGAGCAAACACGAUGAACUGCAUGGAUGCCGAACAGCAGAGACAGAUGUAGACAAGACACAGAGGCCAGGGGCAGACCAGCCAGAAGAAUCUAGAAGGACAGAGGAAAAUUGCUUCCUUUGUGACAGUUGUUGGCACAGUCUGAGGACUCAGUUUUACUGGCUGGAUACUACUCACCCUGAAGCUGCUGCAGCUGAGAAAUCCGUGGACAACUGA